rnacentral:rRNA from 1 species
UACAGAGGUCCCAAGCGUUGUUCGGAUUCAUUGGGCGUAAAGGGUGCGCAGGCGGCGCGGUAAGUCGGGUGUGAAAUCUCGGAGCUUAACUCCGAAACUGCAUUCGAUACUGCCGUGCUUGAGGACUGGAGAGGAGACUGGAAUUUACGGUGUAGCGGUGAAAUGCGUAGAUAUCGUAAGGAAGACCAGUGGCGAAGGCGGGUCUCUGGACAGUUCCUGACGCUGAGGCACGAAGGCCAGGGGAGCAAACGGG